rnacentral:lncRNA from 1 species
CAGGGCAUGAAGUCAGGCACAGAGAGUCCCUGAUGACCUGGCUUUCUCAUUGUGGCUUCAGUGCAAUAGAAGAAUGUACUCUCUUGUGAAUCACUGGCCAUGGGACCUCACUCCUUAGAGACAUCUGUCCACUGAGACCUCACUUUACUGUUGCAGUGACUAAGUAGGAAAUAGGAACCUCAAGGAAAGUGAUGCUGCAGUCACCAACUCCUCAGAGCCACGGUGCAGCCCCAGCCCCUGCUCCCAUGACACAGCCCUGCACCUGAGCAGCACGCAGAUCUCAGGACCAUGCUUCUACAGUCAAAAACCUUUUCAUGGUGCCAGGACACUGAGCUUUUACACUGUCCAGAUGCCAUGGAGAUUUGGCCAGUUGAUUUAUUGAAAUCAGUUAUUAGUGCUGUACAUUGGUACUUUGAACAUGCACCCUAACCAAGA